rnacentral:rRNA from 1 species
GACGAACGCUGGCGGCGUGCCUAAUACAUGCAAGUCGAACGAACUCUGGUAUUGAUUGGUGCUUGCAUCAUGAUUUACAUUUGAGUGAGUGGCGAACUGGUGAGUAACACGUGGGAAACCUGCCCAGAAGCGGGGGAUAACACCUGGAAACAGAUGCUAAUACCGCAUAACAGCUUGGACCGCAUGGUCCGAGUUUGAAAGAUGGCUUCGGCUAUCACUUUUGGAUGGUCCCGCGGCGUAUUAGCUAGAUGGUGGGGUAACGGCUCACCAUGGCAAUGAUACGUAGCCGACCUGAGAGGGUAAUCGGCCACAUUGGGACUGAGACACGGCCCAAACUCCUACGGGAGGCAGCAGUAGGGAAUCUUCCACAAUGGACGAAAGUCUGAUGGAGCAACGCCGCGUGAGUGAAGAAGGGUUUCGGCUCGUAAAACUCUGUUGUUAAAGAAGAACAUAUCUGAGAGUAACUGUUCAGGUAUUGACGGUAUUUAACCAGAAAGCCACGGCUAACUACGUGCCAGCAGCCGCGGUAAUACGUAGGUGGCAAGCGUUGUCCGGAUUUAUUGGGCGUAAAGCGAGCGCAGGCGGUUUUUUAAGUCUGAUGUGAAAGCCUUCGGCUCAACCGAAGAAGUGCAUCGGAAACUGGGAAACUUGAGUGCAGAAGAGGACAGUGGAACUCCAUGUGUAGCGGUGAAAUGCGUAGAUAUAUGGAAGAACACCAGUGGCGAAGGCGGCUGUCUGGUCUGUAACUGACGCUGAGGCUCGAAAGUAUGGGUAGCAAACAGGAUUAGAUACCCUGGUAGUCCAUACCGUAAACGAUGAAUGCUAAGUGUUGGAGGGUUUCCGCCCUUCAGUGCUGCAGCUAACGCAUUAAGCAUUCCGCCUGGGGAGUACGGCCGCAAGGCUGAAACUCAAAGGAAUUGACGGGGGCCCGCACAAGCGGUGGAGCAUGUGGUUUAAUUCGAAGCUACGCGAAGAACCUUACCAGGUCUUGACAUACUAUGCAAAUCUAAGAGAUUAGACGUUCCCUUCGGGGACAUGGAUACAGGUGGUGCAUGGUUGUCGUCAGCUCGUGUCGUGAGAUGUUGGGUUAAGUCCCGCAACGAGCGCAACCCUUAUUAUCAGUUGCCAGCAUUAAGUUGGGCACUCUGGUGAGACUGCCGGUGACAAACCGGAGGAAGGUGGGGAUGACGUCAAAUCAUCAUGCCCCUUAUGACCUGGGCUACACACGUGCUACAAUGGAUGGUACAACGAGUUGCGAACUCGCGAGAGUAAGCUAAUCUCUUAAAGCCAUUCUCAGUUCGGAUUGUAGGCUGCAACUCGCCUACAUGAAGUCGGAAUCGCUAGUAAUCGCGGAUCAGCAUGCCGCGGUGAAUACGUUCCCGGGCCUUGUACACACCGCCCGUCACACCAUGAGAGUUUGUAACACCCAAAGUCGGUGGGGUAACCUUUUAGGAACCAGCCGCCUAAGGUGGGACAGAUGAUUAGGGUG